CCUACGGGUGGCUGCAGUGGGGAAUAUUGGACACUGGGCGAAAGCCUGAUCCAGCCAUGCCGCGUGUGUGAAGAAGGCCUUCGGGUUGUAAAGCACUUUCAGUGGGGAAGAAAGCCUUGGGGCUAAUACCCUCGAGGAAGGACAUCACCCACAGAAGAAGCACCGGCUAACUCCGUGCCAGCAGCCGCGGUAAUACGGAGGGUGCGAGCGUUAAUCGGAAUUACUGGGCGUAAAGCGCGCGUAGGCGGUCUGAUAAGCCGGUUGUGAAAGCCCCGGGCUCAACCUGGGAACGGCAUCCGGAACUGUCAGGCUAGAGUGCAGGAGAGGAAGGUAGAAUUCCCGGUGUAGCGGUGAAAUGCGUAGAGAUCGGGAGGAAUACCAGUGGCGAAGGCGGCCUUCUGGACUGACACUGACGCUGAGGUGCGAAAGCGUGGGUAGCAAACAGGAUUAGAUACCCCGGUAGUC
rnacentral:rRNA from 1 species